rnacentral:rRNA from 3 species
UUAUCGGAGAGUUUGAUCCUGGCUCAGGACGAACGCUGGCGGCGUGCCUAAUACAUGCAAGUCGAGCGGACAGAUGGGAGC